CUUGGAUUCCUAUUCAUUGUCUCUGUGGUAGAACAAAGGAGCUAACAUACAGCAAAUGAACAUGGUAAUCUCUGCUAAUUCAUGGAUCUAAUGAACUUGUAAGCCAGAUAACAGAUGCCAAUUCUGUAUUAGUAAGAAGAAAAAUCACCUCAAUGAACAGCAGAAUAAGAGAAUAAUCCUGGUUUCUAAUUUCCCCAUUGUGAAGGAUGCUCUUCUGCUGUCCACGUUUCUGACUGAAUACAUAUUUCAUCAAAAGGAAGCCACGUACUCAAAUUUUCAUUAGUUGAGAGAAAUAGAAAGAGAAGGAUUGCAAAAUGAGAGGACUAUUGCCCAUCCUUGUGACAAAACAAAGGACAUGCUACGUCUGGAAGCUUAAAAAUAAGAACAUUAACAUCAUGACUAACAAGAAGCAGCUAUUUUUUUUCAUCUAUUAUAUUAAAGUAAGAACAAAUUAAUAUUCAUAAGCUAGAAGAAGCAAUUUUUCA